rnacentral:rRNA from 1 species
AUUGAACGCUGGCGGCAGGCCUAACACAUGCAAGUCGAACGAGUGGCGGACGGGUGAGUAAUGUCUGGGAAACUGCCUGAUGGAGGGGGAUAAAUACGGGAAACGGUAUCUAAUACCGCAUACUAGCAGAUGUGCCCAGAUGGGAUUAGCUAGGGGGGGGGGUAACGGCUCCCCAAGGCGACGAACCCUAGCUGGUCUGAGAGGAUGACCAGCCACACUGGAACUGAGACACGGCCCAGACUCCUACGGGAGGCAGCAGUGGGGAAUAUUGCACAAUGGGCGCAAGCCUGAUGCAGCCAUGCCGCGUGUAUGAAGAAGGCCGUAGGGUUGUAAAGUACUUUCAGCGGGGAGGCGUUACCCGCAGAAGAAGCACCGGCUAACUCCGUGCCAGCAGCCGCGGUAAUUC